AUUGAACGCUGGCGGCAUGCUUUACACAUGCAAGUCGAACGGUAACAGGCCGCAAGGUGCUGACGAGUGGCGAACGGGUGAGUAAUGCAUCGGAACGUGCCCAGUCGUGGGGGAUAACUACUCGAAAGAGUAGCUAAUACCGCAUGCGAUCUAUGGAUGAAAGCGGGGGACCGUAAGGCCUCGCGCGAUUGGAGCGGCCGAUGUCAGAUUAGGUAGUUGGUGGGGUAAAGGCUCACCAAGCCAACGAUCUGUAGCUGGUCUGAGAGGACGACCAGCCACACUGGGACUGAGACACGGCCCAGACUCCUACGAGAGGCAGCAGUGGGGAAUUUUGGACAAUGGGCGCAAGCCUGAUCCAGCAAUGCCGCGUGCAGGAAGAAGGCCUUCGGGUUGUAAACUGCUUUUGUACGGAACGAAACGGCUCUGGUUAAUACCCGGGGCUAAUGACGGUACCGUAAGAAUAAGCACCGGCUAACUACGUG
rnacentral:rRNA from 1 species